rnacentral:lncRNA from 1 species
GUGAAAAAGGGUCCCAUGCAUGCAUGGCAUGCAUGCAUUUAUUGGUGAAGUCUGGCUGGGUACGCCCAGCGUAAGCUGGACGUACGCCCAGCGUAAGGGAGCGAUAAGUUGCGGGUGGCCGGGUGAGUACGCCCAGCGUACCAGGGAGGUACGCCCAGCGUACUCUCAGAAACUCCAAACCCUAAUUUAGGGUCAGCCACUAUAUAAGGAACAUGUUGGUUCACCCCUUAGCCUCCUUAUGCUCAUCCUUAACCUCAGAAAACCCUAAAUCUCGUAUUUCCUCCAUUAUUUGGGUGUGUUUGACCUUGGGAAGCUUAUUUUGGCAAAAGAAAGGCUUGAAGGAGAAAAGAGAAGUUGUCAAGGAAGAAGAGGAAUGAUUGGAGCUUGUAGAUCUGAAGAGAUACCAUCCUCUGGAGCUUGUUUGAGGUAUAAAGCUUCUUGCUUGACCUUCAUAUUGUAUAGAUCUAUGUAUUUUGAAGCUUUGUCACCAUUCUUGUCCCAAAAGUCCUCACCUUGUUGCAUAUUUCGAUUUGGUCAAGAAUAUAUGUCCUUUUAGACCUUUUGGGAGGUCUUGAGUGAGAAAAAUUAGGUCCCAAGGGUUGUAGUUGUUCCAUGUGUGAGAUAUAUAGGUCUUAAUGGAUUAAGACCUUGGAUUAAGAUCUUAAGGACGUCCCAAGUGGUAAAGUAUGAGACUUUAUGAGUUCUAAUCAUUUUUGGCUUAAGGAUCUUGAGUUUGGGCUUGAGAGCUUAAACCAUUAAGUCAUUAUGUGGAUUUGUUGAGCAUAAGGGUUACGCCCCGCGUAGCGGGCCAAAGCCUCGAUCCUCAUUCGCAUAUUCAUUGUUGUACGCCCAGCGUACCAAGGAGGGGACGCCCAACGUACUCCUCCUGUUGGACUUUCAUUUUUGGGCUUCGAGUUUGGGCCGUUGGUGGACAGUUGGUUAUUGGGCCAUGUCUGGGAAUUUAUGGAUAGAGUAUCUUGGGCCAAAUUAUUGUUAUGGUCAUUGGAUCUAGGCCCAUUUGGUGAGGUGGGCCCAAUUUGGUAAAUUGGGCCAAUAUUGGACUUUGUAUAAGAUUUGGACUUGGGCCUUGGCCCGAUAAGUGGAUGUAUGCUUGGCCUAAUGUUUAUUUUGUUAUGAUGGUUAGUUCGGGAUUUGCGGUGAGUUGGUGAUUCGAGAUUCUGCUUCUUCAGUUCAGAGUAUCGGCAUUUUCGAGGUGAGUUAUCCUCACUAUAUCAACAGGGUCUAAGGCACCAAGGCCGGCCCUUAUCGGAUUGAGAUCCGGGUAGUUGUUGUUAUGUUACUGCUUUGAUAUGUUUGCAUCCUGAGAGCUAGGAUGGUAUAUGUUAGAGACCUGAUUGAGAUCGGUAUCUUGAGAGAUAGGGAGAUGCUAUGCUAGUGACCUGUUAGGUCGGUAUCCUGGUUAGGAUGAUGAUAUGUUAUGUGAUCUGUUUGAUUUGCUUGUUGACUAUGAAUUGCUAUAUGAUUGUAUGUAUAUGUGCACAUGGUUGUUUGGACUGGAGUUGGGUUGAGUCGGGUCCUGCUUUGUACUGUAGGCCAAGAUAACCAGAGUCGACCAGUUGUUCGGAAGGCCCAACGAGCGGUCCGGAUAGGCUGUAGGCCCCAAGAGGGCGGACCAGACAUGCCGAGGCUCGGUGCGGGCGGACCAAUCACACUGUAGACUCGAGGUUUAUGGCUAGACUCAGAGGGUGGACCAGGUGGACUGUAGGCCGGUGUGGCGGACCAGUCACACAGUAGACCCGAAGUGCAUGGCUGUUCUGUGAUCAGAUAUGUUGUGGCAUUUUAUGCGUGUAUGGUAUAANGGCAUGUUAUGCGUGUAUGGUAUAAGUGGUUGGUAUUUUGGGGAUAUCUCACUAAGCUUUCGGGCUUACAGUUGUGGUUUUAUGUUUUUCAGGUUCUUCAGGAGACCGUGGCAAGGCGAAGGCAUGAUCGUACCGCUCCUCAUGAUUUUGUAGUAAUGUGAUUCUGGGAAUACUUAAAUGUUUUGUAUUGAAAACCUUUUUGUAAAGAUUUAAUGGAAUCAAGUUAUUUUUGAAAAAAAAAUAAAAUUGGUUGUAUUUGUCGGUUGUUACAAGUUGGUAUCAGAGCCUUGGUUUGAGUGAAUUGGAGAAACACUCGUGUCACUCCAGUCUCAAAUCGAGGAGAGUUUUCAAAAGAGACUUUAAAAUGAUUUUCAAAUGAGUAAAGGAGGACGCGGAGGUACGAUCACCCGGAGCCAGUAAGUAACCCCAAAAUACCAUGCAUGUUAUUUGUUUUUGAGCUUUGAUAGAACAACAUGCUAGUGUUAGGCUAGGGAUCUUCAGGAUUUCAUGAUAAUGUUGCUUGAUUUGUGAUGCCUGUAGCCUAGGAUUUCGUUGUGGGAGAUUUUCAUAGUUCCUCUAGUGGUGAGGGUUGAGAGUUAUUAUGCAUGUUUUCACUAGGGUGUUGUGGUAGUACUUCAUACAAAUAUUGGUAGGUGUGGAAGGUAGUAUGGGCCCGUACUACUGAAAGCACAGGACCCAUACGCGUAUCAGGGAAACCAUGACCUCUAGGNGGAUCCCAGGAUAGUGGGAAGAGUCUGAGAUUUUGUGUGGUGUUUUUCAGUAUGGAGAUUCCGAGGCAUGAUGAGAGUGGAUCCGGAUCAGGAUCGGGAGCAGGAGAGAGAGUUCCGGGCGGAUCGGUACCGCCCGAGGUUAUCGGUCAGAUGAGCACGUGCGAGUUGGAUGCGAGGAUUCGUGAGAUCCUGCGUGAGGAGAUUGCUGAGUUGUUCCGGGCUGAGUUGCCGGAGCUGUUUGGGUCGAUCAAGACCGCCAUGGCUGAGUAUUUUGAUGAGUGCUAUGCAACUCUCACAGAGACGGCUGCCGCGGCGGUUACAGCAGCUGUAGCAGCGGCAUGGGGAGGAGCUGGUCGGGGCUUUCAGUAUCGGGACUUCGACAAUACGAAGCCUCCCACCUUUGAUGGAGUUCAGGACCCGAUUGUUGCUAUGAGGUGGUUAUCGGACGUGGAGGGGUGUUUCUUCACGUGUUCAUGCCCUGCUGAUCAGAGGGUGAGGUGUGCUCUGAACCUGUUGAGGCUCGGGGCGAAGGAUUGGUGGAGAUUGACCACGGGGUCAUAUUCGGAUGCGCAGAGGGCUGCGGUUUCAUGGGAUCAGUUCAGGGAGAUGUUCAGUACUCGUUAUGUUCUGCAAGUUGGGAGGGAGAGAUUGGCUCAGGAGUUCCUUGAGCUGAAGCAGGGUUCGGAGUCGGUGACUGAGAUCACCAGGAUGUUCACUGAGAGGGCGAUGUUCUGCCCUGAGUUCGCUUCGGAGCAGGCUCAGAUGUCUCGAUAUCUGAGCAUGCUCAAGAGGGAUAUCUGACAUUUUGUGUCUACGUAGAGGUGCGAGACCUUGUUGGAGUUGCAGGAGGCCGCCAGGCAGCGUGAGUUAGAGAUUGAGUUGCAGUUGCGUGAGCUGAGGCAGGUUCCGGUGUAGUCGUAGCCAGCGCCGAAACGGUCCAAGACCGUUGAUUCUAGGGUGGGAGAUCAGUGCAACCACACUUGUGGGAGGUGUGGGAGGGGUCACGCCGGAGUUUGUAGGUCCAGUGGUGCAUGCCGCAAGUGCGGAAAGGAAGGGCACUAUGCGAGGGAUUGUCGGCAGUCAGCGCCGAUUCGGGAUUUGAGGAUUUGUUAUCAUUGUCAUCAGGUUGGACAUUUGAGGGUCAACUGUCCACAGCUUGCUGCAGGACCGGUGCAGGCUCCAGCACCGGCCACUUUGAGGAUCGCAGGUGGAGGUCAGGGUAGAGCGGAGCCCCUAAGGGCACAGGGUCGUGCUUUCUAGCUUACGGCAGAGGAGGUCAGAGCAGUGCCAGAUGCAGACGCAGGUAUGUUCCUUUCUUGUUGUAUUGAUUUUCUUGCGAUUAUUGUGGAGUAUUGUCUAUGUGUUAGUAUCUUUGUGUGGUUUUUGGUGCGGUAUUUGUUGUUUUUGAGGGUUGUGGUUUGGUUAUGGGUUAUUGUAUGGAAAUUUCGUUGGUUAUUAUGUAUGAGGGUGAUUAGUGGAAAUUGGCUUUUGGUCUGAAUGUUGGGAAGCAUCUGCUUCCUAAGGAGUGUUAGCUGCAGAUUGAGUUUCUUUCGAGCGGGAUGAUCAGUGUGGGAAUGUGAUUUCUGUGAAGGUUGUUUGAGCUAGUGGGAAUCAGCCCGCGUAUAAGUGUUGGUUUUGUGCAGAGUUGUUUUAGGAGAUCGGUGAUGGCGGCUGAUGCUGAUAGUCAGUACCCUAAGUGGGGGAGAAUUGGAAAAUUCUCCAGAAGAUCAAUGAGCAUGUGGGGUUGCUUAGCUGUUUGGGAUUCAGCAGUGUUCUGUCAGCCCAGAGUGUAGGUUGGCAUGAGUAAGUGUCGGGCAUGCGGGGCGGGAUACAGACCUAGGGCAUUUGAUUGUGGAAGGCCUGGGUUUGGGCCGGGAUCGAGUAUGUGUGAUGGAGAUAGAGUUCAGAACCCCUAGAGGGCUAGAACGAUAUGCAUGGGAGGAUUUCCCGGAGAGAUAGUUCGGAAUGAUGAAUGUUAUUUGAGCGGUCCGGAUAGACUGAAGGCCGGUGGGCGUACCAGUCAGGCCGAAGGCUCGGAGAACGGUCCAGCUAACCUGAAGACGCUGAGAGCGGUCCAGAUUGGUUGAAGGUUCUGAGAGUGGUACAAAUUAGCUGAAGGCCUGGUGAGGCGGUCCAUUCAUGCUGAAGACUCUGCAGGAAUUGUUGGAUCAGUUCGAAGAUAUAGAUUGUGUAUGUGGCAGUGUGAUAGCAUUAGAAGGUCUGGCCCCGGGUAGCGAUCUUGAUUAGUUGAGAUAGUGCAUGGGCUUGAGAGUCCCUGCGAUUAGAGUCAGAGUAUGUGUGUUGGAUAGAUAGCGGUUACGCUAUGAAGGAGUGGUGUAGCGUUAGGCGAGCACCGAGGCACUUGUCGGAGUGACAAGGCGGCUAAGUGAUUUUCCUUGGUAAGGAAAGGGAGAGGAGUGUAACUCCGAGAGAGAGUGCGAAUCCACGGAGGUGGAAGUGGCAGCGCAGGGUUAUGAUGGGAGUGGUCCAAUUAUGGUCAUUGAGUAGCGAGUUUGCGGUAGUGGUAUGGGAGCACAUCCGGGUUGGAUGGUUGCUGAGGCUCGGCAGGAAUGCAUGGAUAGAAGGAUGUUUGAGCACAUCCGGGUUGUGGUGAAAAUUCAUCCGGAAGGAUGUUUGAGAGUGUCAUCAGUGUAUCGGGGUUUUCCUAACCCGAGGACACUAGAGCCAGUUUGGUGCGGUUAUGAGAUUGUGGUGGAGAACUCGUGGGAGUUGCUCUAGGGAUGAAGUUGUGUCAUCCUGUCAGCAAAGAAUAUAGAGUUGGGUUUCGUAUUUCGAUGGUUGAGUCUUGGUUAACCUGGUUCGGUGGAUGUCAGGCGGUGCAAUGCAGGGAAGUUCUGAAGUAUAGUUGCUGCAGGCUUCGAGGACAAAGCCUAAUUUAAGUGGGGGAGAAUUGUAACACCCCGUUCUUUAAGUGUUUAAGUAUGAGUCCCUGAGAUUUAAGAGGAAGGUUAAUUCUGGUACUUUUGCGAGAAAUGAGUUUCAUCCGAGAAGGUUUCGGGCUGGCGUAUGUGUUAGAAGCAUUGGGCUUCUCAUCACCCGUAUGAAUGUAAAGUUAUUUGGGAGCGGGUUUAGAUUACAGGAGUGGCGGUGUUUUGAAGUUGAUCAUUUUUUAUAGCUCGCGGUGGUAUAAGUGAAAAAGGGUCCCAUGCAUGCAUGGCAUGCAUGCAUUUAUUGGUGAAGUCUGGCUGGGUACGCCCAGUGUAAGCUGGACGUACGCCCAGCGUAAGGGAGCGAUAAGUUGCGGGUGGUCGGGUGAGUACGCCCAGCGUACCAGGGAGGUACGCCCAGCGUACUCUCAGAAACUCCAAACCCUAAUUUAGGGUCAGCCACUAUAUAAGGAACAUGUUGGUUCACCCCUUAGCCUCCUUAUGCUCAUCCUUAACCUCAGAAAACCCUAAAUCUCGUAUUUACUCCAUUAUUUGGGUGUGUUUGACCUUGGGAAGCUU